ensembl:snoRNA SNORD26 Small nucleolar RNA SNORD26
CUACGGGGAUGAGCUUCGCUGUUGAACUCUCUCUUGCUGAGGACUUAGUGGAGAAAAAGCGAAAUACUGAGCAGC